GUGCUCACUUUGGCAGCACAUGUACUAAAAUUGGAAUGAUGCAGAGAAGAUCAGCGUGUCUACUGUGCAAGGACAUAAAUAUCUGUGAAUAUAUAAUAAAUAUC